CCUACGGGUGGCAGCAGUGAGGAAUAUUGGUCAAUGGGCGCUAGCCUGAACCAGCCAAGUAGCGUGAAGGAUGACUGCCCUAUGGGUUGUAAACUUCUUUUAUAUGGGAAUAAAGUGCAGUAUGUAUACUGCUUUGCAUGUACCUUAUGAAUAAGGAUCGGCUAACUCCGUGCCAGCAGCCGCGGUAAUACGGAGGAUCCGAGCGUUAUCCGGAUUGAUUGGGUUUAAAGGGAGCGUAGGCGGGUUGUUAAGUCCGUGGUGAAAGUUUGCGGCUCAACCGUAAAAUUGCAGUUGAUACUGGCAUCAUUGAGUACAGUAGAGGUAGGCGGAAUUCGUAGUGUAGCGGUGAAAUGCGUAGAUAUCACGAAGAACUCCGAUGGCGAAGGCAGCCUGCUGGACUGUAACUGACGCUGAUGCUCGAAAGUGUGGGGAUCAAACAGGAUUAGAUACCCGGGUAGUC
rnacentral:rRNA from 1 species